rnacentral:rRNA from 1 species
UACGUAGGGUGCAAGCGUUAAUCGGAAUUACUGGGCGUAAAGCGUGCGCAGGCGGUUUUGUAAGACUGUCGUGAAAUCCCCGGGCUUAACCUGGGAAUGGCGAUGGUGACUGCAAGGCUAGAGUUUGGCAGAGGGGGGUAGAAUUCCACGUGUAGCAGUGAAAUGCGUAGGGAUGUGGAGGAACACCGAUGGCGAAGGCAGCCCCCUGGGUCAAAACUGACGCUCAUGCACGAAAGCGUGGGGAGCAAACAGG